UACGGAAGGUGCGAGCGUUGUUCGGAUUGAUUGGGCGUAAGCGCAUGUAGGCGGGUUUGUAAGUCGAUGUGAAGCCCUGGGCUUAACCUGGGAACUGCAUCCGAAACUAUAAAUCUUGAAUGCUCGAGGGUUGGUGGAAUUCCUGGUGUAAGGAUGUGAAAUCCGUAGAUAUCAGGAGGAACACCGGAGGCGAAGGCGGCCAACUGGCGAUGCAUUGACGCUGAGGUGCGAAAGCGUGGGGAGCAAACAGGG
rnacentral:rRNA from 1 species